rnacentral:rRNA from 1 species
CUCCUACGGGAGGCAGCAGUAGGGAAUCUUGCACAAUGGAGGAAACUCUGAUGCAGCGAUGCCGCGUGAGUGAAGAAGGCCUUUGGGUUGUAAAGCUCUUUCGUCGGGGAAGAAAAUGACUGUACCCGAAUAAGAAGGUCCGGCUAACUUCGUGCCAGCAGCCGCGGUAAUACGAAGGGACCUAGCGUAGUUCGGAAUUACUGGGCUUAAAGAGUUCGUAGGUGGUUAAAAAAGUUGGUGGUGAAAUCCCAGAGCUUAACUCUGGAACUGCCAUCAAAACUUUUUAGCUAGAGUUUGAUAGAGGAAAGCAGAAUUUCUAGUGUAGAGGUGAAAUUCGUAGAUAUUAGAAAGAAUACCGAUUGCGAAGGCAGCUUUCUGGAUCAAUACUGACACUGAGGAACGAAAGCAUGGGUAGCGAAGAGGAUUAGAUACCCUCGUAGUCCAUGCCGUAAACGAUGUGUGUUAGAUGUUGGAAAUUUAUUUUCAGUAUCGCAGCGAAAGCGUUAAACACACCGCCUGGGGAGUACGACCGCAAGGUUAAAACUCAAAUGAAUUGACGGGGACCCGCACAAGUAGUGGAGCAUGUGGUUUAAUUCGAAGAUACGCGCAGAACCUUACCAACACUUGACAUGUUUGUCGCGACUUUAAGAGAUUAAAGUCUUCGGUUCGGCCGGACAAAACACAGGUGCUGCAUGGCUGUCGUCAGCUCGUGUCGUGAGAUGUUGGGUUAAGUCCCGCAACGAGCGCAACCCUCACUUUUAGUUGCCAUCAUUUAGUUGGGCACUCUGAAAGAACUGCCAGUGAUAAGCUGGAGGAAGGUGGGGAUGACGUCAAGUCCUCAUGGCCCUUACGUGUUGGGCUACACACGUGCUACAAUGGCAUUUACAAUAGGAAGCAAGAUGGCGACAUCAAGCAAAUCCUAA